rnacentral:rRNA from 1 species
ACGAACGCUUGCGGCGUGCCUAAGAAAUGCAAGUCGAGCGAGGAUUCACGCUGACCGAAGCUUCGGCAGAGGUCUUGUGAAGCCUAGCGGCGAACGGUCGCGUAACACGUAAGCAACCUGCCCUGAAGUGUGGGAUAGCCCUCCGAAAGGAGGAUUAAUACCGCAUGUGGAUACGAUGUCGCAUGGCAACGUAUCUAAAGCAGCAAUGCGCUUCAGGAUGGGCUUGCGGCCUAUCAGCUAGUUGGUGGGGUAACGGCCUACCAAGGCGACGACGGGUAGCUGGUCUGAGAGGAUGGUCAGCCGGAUUGGGACUGAGACACGGCCCAGACUCCUACGGGGGGCAGCAAUUAGGAAUCUUGCGCAAUGGGGGAAACCCUGACGCAGCGACGCCGCGUGAGCGAUGAAGUCUUUCGGGAUGUAAAAGCUCUGUCCUGUGGGGAAGAAGAAUGUGACGGUACCCACAGAGAAAGCCCCGGCUAACUACGUG